rnacentral:tRNA from 1 species
UCCUUGGUGGCCUAAUGGUUAAGAAUCCAGCAUUGUCACUGCUGUGGCUCAGGUUCCAUCCCUGGCCCAGGAA